rnacentral:rRNA from 1 species
GGUCAUAUGCUCGUUCAAAGAUUAAGCCAUGCAUGUCCAAGUUCACAACUACUGCAUUGCAUAUGACUGAUUUAGUGGAAACUGCGAAGCGCUCAGUAAAUCAGUUAUCGUCUAUUCGAUCAUAGUACUUCAGUGGAUAACUGUGGUAAAUCUAGAGUUAAUCCAUGCGAAAAUCACUUGAUAUCAAGUGGCAUUUAUUAGCCAAAACCAAACAAAAUAUUCAUUUUCCAUGUAUAUUUUAUUAGGUGAAUCUAGAUAACUGUGCAUAUCGUAUGGCUAACGCCAGCGAUAGUUCGAUUGAAUUUCUGCCCUAUCAUUUUGUUGGUAAGGUAGUGGCUUACCAAGAAGUUGACGGGUAACGGGGAAUCAGGGUUCGAUUCCGGAGAGGGAGCCUGAGAAACGGCUACCACAUCCAAGGAAGGCAGCAGGCGCGCAAAUUACCCAAUCCAGACAUUGGGAGGUAGUGACGAGAAAUACCGAUGCAUGUCUAAUGGAUAUGCAAUCGGAAUGAACGUGAUAUAGAAUCUCCGUUGAGGAUCUAUUGGAGGGCAAGUCUGGUGCCAGCAGCCGCGGUAAUUCCAGCUCCAAUAGUGUAUAUCAAAAUUGUUGCGGUUAAAACGCUCGUAGUUGGAUUACAAGCGUAUUGUAUGAUAAAUAUGCGAAAUAUUUAAAAGUAUAUUUAAUUAUAUAGCUAGCCUAUAUCGCAAGUGUUAAUUGUAUACUUAAUUGAAUACAUUAACAUUUUUGCGGAGCGUGCCUUGAAUAAAGCACAGUGCUCAAAGCAGGCGUACGCUCGAAUGUAAUAGCAUGGAACGAAUAAAAGCUAACUAUGAUUUAGUUUGUUAGGUUAUCUAAAUCAAGUUGCGAGAUUAAAAGGGAUAUUUGAGGGCAUUAGUACUCGAUAGCGAGAGGUGAAAUUCUGUGACCUAUCGAAGACUGACUAUUGCGAAAGCAUUUGCCAAGAAUGUUUUCAUUAAUCAAGAACGAAAGUUAAAGGUUCGAAGACGAUCAGAUACCGUCCUAGUUUUAACUUCAAACGUUGCCAACACGUCGGGUUCCUGGGGUAGUAUGGUCGCAAGGCUGAAACUUAAAGAAAUUGACGGAGGGGCACCACCAGGAGAUCGUUAGCAGGCUUAAUUUGACUCAACACGGGACAACUCACCAGGUCCAGACAUUGAAAGGAUUGACAGACUGAUAGAUCUUUCAUGAUACAGUGAUUGGUGGUGCAUGGCCGUUCUUAGUUGGUGGAGUGAUCUGUCAGGUUUAUUCCGGUAACGAGCGAGACCACGAUCUCUAUUUAAUAAGGUUAUAGUUAAUUAAUUUAACUAUAAAAAAUACGCCAUUAUAGAGAGACCGCGAGAUAAAAACUCGAGGAAGCGUGGCAAUAACAGGUCUGUGAUGCCCUUCGAUGUCCUGGGCUGCACGCGCGCUACAAUGGCAGCAACAAAGAGUUACAAUAUAUACCUGAUUUGAAAAGAUUGGGAAAUCUUGUAAAUUGCUGUCUUGAUUGGGAUUGAGCCUUGUAAUUAUUGCUCAUGAAAGAGGAAUUCCUCGUAAGCGCAAGUCACUAACUUGUGUUGAUUACGUCUCUGCCCCUUGUACACACCGCCGCAUCUCCUAGACACUGG